GACGAACGCUGGCGGCGUGCUUAACACAUGCAAGUCGAACGGAAAGGCCCUGCUUUUGUGGGGUGCUCGAGUGGCGAACGGGUGAGUAACACGUGAGUAACCUGCCCUUGACUUUGGGAUAACUUCAGGAAACUGGGGCUAAUACCGGAUAGGAGCUCCUGCUGCAUGGUGGGGGUUGGAAAGUUUCGGCGGUUGGGGAUGGACUCGCGGCUUAUCAGCUUGUUGGUGGGGUAGUGGCUUACCAAGGCUUUGACGGGUAGCCGGCCUGAGAGGGUGACCGGCCACAUUGGGACUGAGAUACGGCACAGACUCCUACGGGAGGCAGCAGUGGGGAAUAUUGCACAAUGGGCGGAAGCCUGAUGCAGCAACGCCGCGUGCGGGAUGACGGCCUUCGGGUUGUAACCCGCUUUCGCCUGUGACGAAGCGUGAGUGACGGUAAUGGGUAAAGAAGCACCGGCUAACUACGUG
rnacentral:rRNA from 1 species